rnacentral:tRNA from 1 species
CCUUUUGUAGUUUAUUACCAAACAUUAUAUUUUCAUUAUAAAAAAGAUUAUAUCCAAAAGUU